rnacentral:piRNA from 1 species
UCCCCAAAGACUAGACGUGACCUGGCAGA